rnacentral:rRNA from 1 species
UAGGGAAUCUUCGGCAAUGGGGGCAACCCUGACCGAGCAACGCCGCGUGAGUGAAGAAGGUUUUCGGAUCGUAAAGCUCUGUUGUAAGAGAAGAACGUGUGUUAGAGUGGAAAGUUCACACAGUGACGGUAACUUACAAGAAAGGGAAGGCUAACUCCGUGCCAGCAGCCGCGGUAAUACGUAGGUCCCGAGCGUUAUCCGGAUUUAUUGGGCGUAAAGCGAGCGCAGGCGGUUUAAUAAGUCUGAAGUUAAAGACAGUGGCUUAACCAGUGAUCGCAUUGGAAACUGUUAGACUUGAGUGCAGAAGAGGAGAGUGGAAUUCCAUGUGUAGCGGUGAAAUGCGUAGAUAUAUGGAGGAACACCGGUGGCGAAGGCGGCUCUCUGGUCUGUAACUGACGCUGAGGCUCGAAAGCGUGGGGAGCAAACAGG